rnacentral:rRNA from 1 species
CAAGGAAUAUUGGGCAAUGGGCGAAAGCCUGACCCAGCGACACCGCGUGGGGGAUGAAGGUUCUCGGAUCGUAAACCCCUUUUCUCAGGGAAGAUAAUGACGGUACCUGAGGAAUAAGUCUCGGCCAACUACGUGCCAGCAGCCGCGGUAAUACGUAGGAGGCGAACGUUAUCCGGAUUUACUGGGCGUAAAGAGAGCGUAGGCGGUUUCCCAAGUCGGGUGCGAAAUCUCUUGACUCAAUCAGGAGGGGCUAUCCGAUACUGGGUCACUCGAGGGCGGCAGAAGGAAACGGAAUUCCGAGUGUAGCGGUGAAAUGCGUUGAUAUUCGGAGGAACACCAGUGGCGAAGGCGGUUUCCUAGGCUGUUCCUGACGCUGAGGCUCGAAAGCGUGGGGAGCGAAGCG